GGUGGAUGUAGCUCAGUGGUAGAGCAACAGUUUGUGGUAUUGAAGGCCGCGGGUUCAAAUCCCGUCAUUCACC
rnacentral:tRNA from 1 species